rnacentral:sRNA from 12 species
CCCCCUUGCGAUGGGGUGAAUGGCAGAACGCAAACUGCCUAAGAAGUGGGAGCGCGUAAAGAAGCGCAGGUCCGGCUGCGCCCGCGAAGUACUGCGGUGCAGCGGCCAAUGGUACAAAAAUUGCGGCAAAGGCGUCGGGACCGGUACUCCCGGCGCUUUUGU